rnacentral:lncRNA from 1 species
AAAUCCAUCUUCGCAACACCAUGAAAAGCUAAAUCGCGAACCAAAAAACCCUAAUCACAUUACCUCCAUAGGUAACUCCGUGAGAAAAAUGGACUCGUGACUCAUAUGGACAAUAUACAGUUAACAAUUUAGAUGAAAUAAAAAAAAUCAAAUUAAACAAAAAUUAAAACAACUUUUAACACUCGAAAAAGUAAAAAAAAAAAUCACUUUAAAUAAAAUUAAUGAAGAUCAAAAAUAGAUAUUAAACUCAUAAAAUAUAAAAUAAAACAACCUACCUCCGUGC